rnacentral:tRNA from 5 species
AGAUCGAAAUGGUGCUCAUCCUCUAACAUCCUCCCUUACAAGGAGGAUGUCGGCGGUUCGAAACCGUCCGCGCCCA